GGCGCGCUCGCUCCAGAGCUUGCCGCGUGUUUUAAACUGACUGACGAGUUGACUGCUUGAUGACGUGACUUCGAGAUUUCAAAUAAUCUGUUAGACUGCGACACCGAGGCAACUAUGUAAAAGCGCAAAAGCAUCGCCAGGAAGGCAGAGGACACGUCAAACCUGGUAUCGGAAAAUGAUGCUGUGUAGAAGCGAAAGAGACGUCUUCCCCAGAGAUUUAGCAAAUCUUCUAGUGAUUCCGGAAUUGACGCUGAUCUUGAAUCGGUUAGGACCCAAGAAAACAACAUGUACGCGGAGGAACGACUAAGGCUGUGGCAGCAGAGAUACCAAUGCCGAAACUGAAUGCGAAGUCCAAGUCCACAUCACAUUUUUCAGUUCCAACCCACAACUCCAGCAAGGGCUCGGGCUUCGGAAAGCAAUUUUCAAGUGCAGGUACUGUGUACGCUGCAGAGGCUGGAGGAAGGGCAGCAGCAGCUGACGCAGUUGGUACAAAAACUGCUUUUGUCCAAAUCGGGAGCGGCGGUUGAUGUGGAAGACCUGAGGGAGGCGUUUACCAAACCAGUGAACACCAAAUUUUCAUUCAAGGUAGAUUAAGAUACCUUCAUUCAGGGGCAAUGCAAAAAUCCUAAAACUCAUAUUGAAACCAAAUUUGACCAUUUCAGCUAAUAAUGGAGAAACUUUAUCAGCGACAUAACAGUUUUGUUGGUGCAUCUUU
rnacentral:lncRNA from 1 species